rnacentral:rRNA from 1 species
UACAGAGGCCUCGAGCGUUAGGCGGAAUCACUGGGCUUAAAGCGUGUGUAGGUGGAGUUCUAAGUACCUUGUGAAAUCCCACGGCUCAACCGUGGAACUGCUGGGUAUACUGGUUCUCUUGAGGUACCUAGGGGCGAGCGGAACAAGUGGUGGAGCGGUGAAAUGCGUAGAUAUCACUUGGAACGCCAACGGUGAAAACAGCUCGCUGGGGGUAUCCUGACACUGAAACACGAAAGCCAGGGGAGCAAACGGG